rnacentral:rRNA from 1 species
UGGGGAAUCUUGGACAAUGGGGGCAACCCUGAUCCAGCCAUGCCGCGUGAGUGAUGAAGGCCUUAGGGUCGUAAAGCUCUUUCGCCUGUGAAGAUAAUGACGGUAGCAGGUAAAGAAACCCCGGCUAACUCCGUGCCAGCAGCCGCGGUAAUACGGAGGGGGCAAGCGUUAUUCGGAAUUACUGGGCGUAAAGGGCGUGUAGGCGGCUUGAUAGGUCAAAGGUGAAAUCCCUCGGCUCAACCGAGGAACUGCCUUUGAAACCAUCUGGCUCGAGGCUGGGAGGGGGGUAGCGGAAUUCCUGGUGUAGCGGUGAAAUGCGUAGAUAUCAGGAGGAACACCAGUGGCGAAGGCGGCUACCCUGGGACCAGUUCUGACGCUGAGGCGCGAAAGCGUGGGGAAGCAAACAGGAUUAGAUACCCUGGUAGUCCACGCUGUAAAACGAUGGGUACUCGGUGUUGCGGGUGUUGACCCCUGCAAUGCCUUAGCUAACGCGUUAAGUACCCCGCCCUGGGGGAGUACGGUCGCAAGGCUGAAACUCAAAUGAAUUGACGG